GAUCAUGGCUACAGAACGAACGCUGGCGGCGCGUCUUAAGCAUGCAAGUCGGACGGCAAGGGUUGUGCUUGCACAACUCCUAGAGUGGCGGACUGGUGAGUAACGCGUGGGUGACCUGCCCUCGAGAUGGGGAUAGCCAUUAGAAAUAGUGGAUAAUACCGAAUACGCUCAUGACCCUGUGGGAUACGAGGAAACAGGCUACGGCCUGGCUACGAGGAUGGGCCCGCGUCCCAUUAGCUAGUUGGUGAGGUAACGGCCCACCAAGGCGACGAUGGGUAAUCCGGCCUGAGAGGGUGUACGGACACAUUGGGACUGAGAUACGGCCCAAACUCCUACGGGAGGCAGCAGCUAAGAAUAUUCCGCAAUGGACGAAAGUCUGACGGAGCGACGCCGCGUGGAUGAAAACGAAGGCCGGAAGGUUGUAAAAUCCCUUUGCUGAUGAAGAAUAAGUGUGGUAGGGAAUGACCGCAUGAUGACAUUAGUCGGUGAAUAAGCCCCGGCUAACUACGUGCCAGCCGCCGC
rnacentral:rRNA from 1 species